GAGUUCAGCUUAGUGGUAGAGCGUCUGCUGUGUAAGUAGAAGGUCGUCAGUUCAAUCUCGGCUAUUACCU